CUCUGGCCUGAAAUCAGGUAGGACUACCCGCUGAACUUAAGCAUAUCAAUAAGCGGAGGA
rnacentral:rRNA from 2 species